UACGAAGGUCCCAAGCGUUAUCCGGAUUUAUUGGGUUUAAAGGGUGCGUAGGCGGACUAUUAAGUCAGUGGUGAAAGCCCCAAGCUUAACUUGGGAACUGCCAUUGAUACUGAUGGUCUUGAGUACAUUUGAGGUGGGCGGAAUGUGUCAUGUAGCGGUGAAAUGCUUAGAUAUGACACAGAACACCGAUUGCGAAGGCAGCUCACUAAACUGUAACUGACGCUGAGGCACGAAAGUGUGGGGAUCAAACAGG
rnacentral:rRNA from 1 species